GACGAACGCUGGCGGCGUGCCUAAUACAUGCAAGUAGAACGCUGAAGGAGGAGCUUGCUUCUCUGGAUGAGUUGCGAACGGGUGAGUAACGCGUAGGUAACCUGCCUGGUAGCGGGGGAUAACUAUUGGAAACGAUAGCUAAUACCGCAUAACAGUAGAUAUCGCAUGAUAUCUACUUGAAAGGUGCAAUUGCAUCACUACCAGAUGGACCUGCGUUGUAUUAGCUAGUUGGUGAGGUAACGGCUCACCAAGGCGACGAUACAUAGCCGACCUGAGAGGGUGGUCGGCCACACUGGGACUGGGACACGGCCCAGAAGCCUACGGGGGGCAGCAGUAGGGAAUCUUCGGCAAUGGACGGAAGUCUGACCGAGCAACGCCGCGUGAGUGAAGAAGGUUUUCGGAUCGUAAAGCUCUGUUGUAAGAGAAGAACGAGUGUGAGAGUGGAAAGUUCACACUGUGACGGUAUCUUACCAGAAAGGGACGGCUAACUACGUG
rnacentral:rRNA from 1 species